GAGAGCGUGGUGUAAUUGGCAACAUUCCGGAAUCCAAGUCCGGUAGAUCCGGGUUCAAAUCCUGGCGCUCUUGCCA
rnacentral:tRNA from 1 species